GAUGAACGCUGGCGGCGUGCCUAAUACAUGCAAGUCGAGCGAACGGACGAGAAGCUUGCUUCUCUGAUGUUAGCGGCGGACGGGUGAGUAACACGUGGAUAACCUACCUAUAAGACUGGGAUAACUUCGGGAAACCGUAGCUAAUACCGGAUAAUAUUUUGAACCGCAUGGUUCAAAAGUGAAAGACAGUCUUGCUGUCACUUAUAGAUGGAUCCGCGCUGCAUUAGCUAGUUGGUAAGGUAACGGCUUACCAAGGCAACGAUGCAUAGCCGACCUGAGAGGGUGAUCGGCCACACUGGAACUGAGACACGGUCCAGACUCCUACGGGAGGCAGCAGUAGGGAAUCUUCCGCAAUGGGCGAAAGCCUGACGGAGCAACGCCGCGUGAGUGAUGAAGGUCUUCGGAUCGUAAAACUCUGUUAUUAGGGAAGAACAUAUGUGUAAGUAACUGUGCACAUCUUGACGGUACCUAAUCAGAAAGCCACGGCUAACUACGUG
rnacentral:rRNA from 1 species